ACCUCUUCAACUUCCUCGCAACCCUAGGAAACCCUAGCGCCGUUCAAUUCUUCCCCAAUUCCAAUGUCAGAUCCAUACGAACGUGCAAAAGGAAGUAGAUUAUCCUUCAAAGGAGGAACCCUAGCAACUAGGCAAAAAUCCAUUGACAAAAAGCGAAAGAAAAAGAAGAACAAAAUCGAAAACCCUAACCCCAACAUCGAAGAAGAAACCCUAGUUGAAGGAGACAAAAAUGAAACCGUUGAAGGGUCUGAGUCGUCGGAGUAUACUAUUGACGCUGCGAAGAAAAUGAAGUACGAUCAACUUUUUCCGGUUGAGGCGAAGAAAUUCGGGUACGAACCUAAAAGUAAGGCCAAAUCAAUUGAAGAAGCGUUAGAUGACCGUGUCAAGAAGAAAGCUGAUCGUUACUGUAAAUAGUGUAAUUAUUCAAUGACAUCCGAGGUGUUUUGAAUAUGUUUACCCAUCUUCCAUGAAUUUCCCAUGGCUUUGUUUGGAUUGCUGGAAUCAGAUGGAGUGGAGGAGGAAUAGGAUGGAAUGAAAUGAUAUUCUAUUGUUGGGAUAAUUUAAAAUCUGAUGAACAUUUUGGAAUUGAGUGGUAUGGAUAUCAUUUCAUUCAAUAAUUUACCACAAUACUCCUUCCCUGCUCCACUCAUCUUAUGAAGCAUUUCUGGUGGAAUGAACAACUUGCUUUGUAUGUGUAUUCUCAAUUCAAUUGUGUUUUAAUAAAAUCUGAUGAAGCAUUUUGUGUGGAAUGAACAGCUUGCUUUGUUUCGCACUGCUUCACGCAUCUUAUGAUAUCCAAACUAGUCUAAAUGGGUUUAAUAUGACUCUACUUCUGGUUUUCUUGUCACAACCAUGCACGAUAUUGAUUGAUCUGAUAUGAUACUUAUAAAUUUAUUGAUCAUUCCCGGCAAAAGAAGUUUGAGUAAGGAAGAUAACUGCCGCUCACCACUAAAACCAGAUGACCCAAGCAACCAUCCGGGCAAAAGAAGUUUGAGCAUGGCAUGUUGAGUGGCUGGUUAAUCUUCCAGUAUUGUUUUACCUGUAAACGUAUGUUGGCUGUUGAUUUGGAUUUAUUGGGUUAUAAUUAUAUGUUUUAGUCAAAUGAUUCAUGGUUAUGAAUUCAAACGUCUAACCUCAUAAUCUCUGAAUGACAUAACAUCUCACAUGCUGUAGCUUGAUACAUAAUUUGUGAAAGAGGUUUUACCAUAUUCAUACA